rnacentral:rRNA from 1 species
UACGAAGGGGGCUAGCGUUGCUCGGAAUUACUGGGCGUAAAGGGCGCGUAGGCGGCACUGUUAGUCAGGCGUGAAAUUCCUGGGCUCAACCUGGGGACUGCGCUUGAUACGGCAGAGCUAGAGGAUAGAAGAGGCUCGCGGAAUUCCCAGUGUAGAGGUGAAAUUCGUAGAUAUUGGGAAGAACACCGGUGGCGAAGGCGGCGAGCUGGUCCAUUACUGACGCUGAGGCGCGACAGCGU